rnacentral:rRNA from 1 species
CCUACGGGUGGCAGCAGUGAGGAAUAUUGGUCAAUGGACGAGAGUCUGAACCAGCCAAGUAGCGUGAAGGAUGACUGCCCUAUGGGUUGUAAACUUCUUUUAUAUGGGAAUAAAAUGUUCCACGUGUGGGAUUUUGUAUGUACUAUAUGAAUAAGGAUCGGCUAACUCCGUGCCAGCAGCCGCGGUAAUACGGAGGAUCCGAGCGUUAUCCGGAUUUAUUGGGUUUAAAGGGAGCGUAGGUGGAUUGUUAAGGCAGUUGUGAAAGUUUGCGGCUCAACCGUAAAAUUGCAGUUGAAACUGGCAGUCUUGAGUACAGUAGAGGUGGGCGGAAUUCGUGGUGUAGUGGUGAAAUGCUUAGAUAUCACGAAGAACUCCGAUUGCGAAGGCAGUUCACUGGACUGCAACUGACACUGAGGCUCGAAAGUGUGGGUAUCAAACAGGAUUAGAUACCCCAGUAGUC